GUUGUCCGGAAUUAUUGGGCGUAAAGAGCUUGUAGGCGGUCUGUCGCGUCUGCUGUGAAAAUCCGGGGCUCAACCCCGGACCUGCAGUGGGUACGGGCAGACUAGAGUGUGGUAGGGGAGACUGGAAUUCCUGGUGUAGCGGUGAAAUGCGCAGAUAUCAGGAGGAACACCGAUGGCGAAGGCAGGUCUCUGGGCCACUACUGACGCUGAGAAGCGAAAGCAUGGGGAGCGAACAGG
rnacentral:rRNA from 1 species